CAUCAAUACAAGCAGUUUACCUGAACAACUGCCUUAGAUCCACUGACUUCUAGCACUUGCCCACUUCGUCUGGAUCCAUCAGAUAAUAGUGAGAUCAUCUUGCACGUGACAUUGGUGUGAUUAAUAUAUCAAUAACAAUCAAUAAUGACCAAUAUAUAAUGACCUGGAUAAUGACGAUAUGCCAAUAAUGACCACGACAAAGCAAGACAAGUAAAUACGGAUGGAAAAGAUCACAGAAGACGUACCUUUCACAAUAAGUGAUCAGUGAAGCUUGUUGUAUAUUUUAACCCUGGAGGGCCCAAAAUUUGCUUACGUGAGAAAAAAAUUUUUUAUCAGUCAAGAACACUUACUAUGGGCCGGUUAAACAUAACAGAGGUCUUUUUUAAGAAUUUCGUGCAAUCCGAACAAAUUGGCCCAAUGGGUCAUAUGUGACCCAUUGGGCCUUCGUGGGUGUUAAGUAAUACAAUACACUAACAACAAAAUAAUGACUGUUUAUUAAAAUUGUAACCGUUUAUAAAAAAAAGAACUAUGAUAAAACUGUA